rnacentral:rRNA from 1 species
UACGGAGGGGGCUAGCGUUGUUCGGAAUUACUGGGCGUAAAGCGCACGUAGGCGGCUUUGUAAGUUAGAGGUGAAAGCCCGGAGCUCAACUCCGGAAUAGCCUUUAAGACUGCAUCGCUAGAACGUUGGAGAGGUAAGUGGAAUUCCGAGUGUAGAGGUGAAAUUCGUAGAUAUUCGGAAGAACACCAGUGGCGAAGGCGACUUACUGGACAACUGUUGACGCUGAGGCGCGAAAGCUAGGGUAGCAAACGGG